rnacentral:tmRNA from 1 species
GGGGGCGACUUGGCUUCGACGUGGGUUGCAAAGCAGCGUAGGGCAUACCGAGGACCCGCAACCUCGUAAAUCAGCUGGAAAACAAAUAGUCGCAAACGACGAAACUUACGCACUGGCCGCUUAAGGCCUGCCCUCACACCCCGUUGUCCAUGGAGGGGCUCGAUACCGCAAGGUUGAGAUGAGUGAGGUCAUUACAUGGAAUCGUGCGGCGUAGGGUUACUUUACGCAGCACUAAACGCAAGGUAACUCGUCCCGUACCAGCCUGCCGAUUGGCGUGUCCGGGCCUAAAACAAAUAAUCAGGCUAAGUAUGUAGAACUAUCUGUAGAGGACUCGCGGACGGGGGUUCAAUUCCCCCCGCCUCCACCA